GACGAACGCUGGCGGCGGGCUUAACACAUGCAAGUCGAACGGAAAGGCCCUGCUUUUGUGGUGUGCUCGAGUGGCGAACGGGUGAGUAAAACGUGAGUAACCUUCCCUUUACUUUGGGAUAACUUCAGGAAACUGGGGCUAAUACCGGAUAGGAGUUUCUGCUGCAUGGUGGGGGUUGGAAAGUUUCGGCGGUUGGGGAUUGAUUCGCGGCUUAUCAGCUUGUUGGUGGGGUAGUGGCUUACCAAGGCUUUGACGGGUAGCCGGCCUGAGAGGGUGACCGGGGACAAUGGGACUAAGAGACGGCGCAGACUCCAACGGGAGGCAGUAGGGGGGAACAUUGCGCAGUGAGCGGAAGUCUGAUGCAGCAGCGCCGCGUUCGGGAUGACGGCCUUCGGGUUGUAAACCGCUUUCGCCUGUGACGAAGCGUGAGUGACGGUAACGAGUAAAGAAGCACCGGCUAACUACGUG
rnacentral:rRNA from 1 species